rnacentral:rRNA from 1 species
UCUGUAGGCGGAGGGGUAAGUUGGACGUGAAAGCUCCGGGCUCAACCCGGAGAGGUCGUUCAAUACUGCUCGACUAGAGGGUGUCAGAGGGGAGUGGAAUUCCCGGUGUAGCGGUAAAAUGCGCAGAUAUCGGGAGGAACACCAGUGGCGAAGGCGGCUCCCUGGGGCACACCUGACGCUGAGAGACGAAAGCUAGGGGAGCGAACAGGAUUAGAUACCCUGGUAGUCC